GUCUCUGGCCUGGAAGAACUCCUAAUUAAAACAAUGAUUGCUGAUACCACAAGGCAGGGCCUCAAAAAAGCAGAUUUCACAAAUAUCUGGUAGACAAUAGCUCCAGGGAGAAAAGAGUCCUUUGCUCUGCUUCUGGCUUUUUAUUUUGCUGAGAGCUGCCAUUGAAGAUAAACAGCCUUGGGUGGCCCAAAGAUCUAGAAUGACUUGAAGGACUGGAUUCAAAGGAGGAUUUGCCUUUUUGAAAAGGUUCAGUGGAGCUAUCAACUAGCCAACCUAGUGACAAAAGUAAAAUCAUUGGAUGGAUGAAUUUCCUAAAUAAUGGUUCUCCAACCGAGAACAAUAAAAACUGCUCUCUGCUUCUCAGAUACUACUGACAUGAGAAGAACUAUUGGUCCCUGAGGU